rnacentral:rRNA from 1 species
UACGGAGGAUGCGAGCGUUAUCCGGAUUUAUUGGGUUUAAAGGGUGCGCAGGCGGUCUAUUAAGUCAGUGGUGAAAUCUCCGGGCUCAACCCGGAAACUGCCAUUGAAACUGGUCGACUUGAGUAUGGAUGAAGUAGGCGGAAUUCGUUGUGUAGCGGUGAAAUGCAUAGAUAUAACGAGGAACCCCGAUUGCGUAGGCAGCUUACUAAACCAUAACUGACGCUCAAGCACGAAAGCGUGGGUAUCAAAC